rnacentral:rRNA from 1 species
GGCAAAAGCUCAAAUUUGAAAUCUGGCGUCUUUGGCGUCCGAGUUGUAAUUUGAAGAAGGUAUCUUUGGGCCCGGCUCUUGUCUAUGUUCCUUGGAACAGGACGUCACAGAGGGUGAGAAUCCCGUGCGAUGAGAUGACCCGGGUCUGUGUAAAGUUCCUUCGACGAGUCGAGUUGUUUGGGAAUGCAGCUCUAAGUGGGUGGUAAAUUCCAUCUAAAGCUAAAUAUUGGCGAGAGACCGAUAGCGAACAAGUACAGUGAUGGAAAGAUGAAAAGAACUUUGAAAAGAGAGUGAAAAAGUACGUGAAAUUGUUGAAAGGGAAGGGCUUGAGAUCAGACUUGGUAUUUUGCAUGCUGCUCUCUCGGGGGCGGCCGCUGCGGUUUACCGGGCCAGCAUCGGUUUGGAGCGGCAGGAUAAUGGCGGAGGAAUGUGGCACGGCUUCUGCUGUGUGUUAUAGCCUCUGACGAUACUGCCAGCCUAGACCGAGGACUGCGGUUUUUACCUAGGAUGUUGGCAUAAAUGAUCUUAAGUCGCCCGUCUUGAAACACGGACCAAGGAGUCUAACGUCUAUGCGAGUGUUUGGGUGUAAAACCCGUACGCGUAAUGAAAGUGAACGAAGUGGGGGCCCAUUAGGGUGCACCAUCGACCGAUCCUGAUGUGUUCGGAUGGAUUUGAGUAAGAGCAUAGCUGUUGGACCGAAAG